rnacentral:rRNA from 1 species
ACGGCCUCUAGUGCAGAUCUUGGUGGUAGUAGCAAGUAUACAAGAGAGAUCCUUGUAGACUGAAGUGGGGAAAGGUUUCGCGUGAACAGCAAUUGGACGCGAGUGAGUCGGUCCUAAGCAUGGCCUGAGAUGGUGGAAUGGAUGAUUGUUUGAAAGAUAUCAAUCCGCGUGCGAAAGGGAAUUGCGUUAAUAUUCGCAAACCAGAGGUUAGUGUUUAAUGCGGUAACGCUAGCGCUGUUUGGAGACGUUGGCGAGCAUCCCGGGAAGAGUUCUCUUUUCUUUUUAAUUCUUUCUUUAAUUAAUCACCCCGGAAGUCCUUUGCGGAGCGAGGGGGCGAUUGAAGAAGCAGAGCAGCCCAGUUUUGGGGUUGUCCGGUGCAUGUUCGACGGCCCGUGAAAAUCCAAAGGGCGGCAUCAUUUUGCCUCUGGCCGUACUGAUAACCGCAACAGGUCUCCAAGAUGAAAAGUCUCUAGUCAAUAGAAGAAUGUAGAUAAGGGAAGUCGGCAAGAUAGAUCCGUAACUUCGGGAAAAGGAUUGGCUCUGAGGGCUGGGCACGGGGGUCCCAGUCCCGAACCCGUCGGCUGUCGGUGGACUGCUCGAGCUGCUCCCGCGGCGAGAGCGGGUCGCCGCGUGCCGGCCGGGGGACAGAUUGGGAACGAUCGUUUCGGCGGUCUUCCCCGGGCGUCGAACAGUCGACUCAGAACUGGUACGGACAAGGGGAAUCCGACUGUUUAAUUAAAACAAAGCAUUGCGAUGGUCGGAAACGAUGUUGACGCAAUGUGAUUUCUGCCCAGUGCUCUGAAUGUCAUCGUGAAGUAAUUCAAAAAAGCGCGGGUAAACGGCGGGAGUAACUAUGACUCUCUUAAGGUAGCCAAAUGCCUCGUCAUCUAACUUGUGACGCGCAUGAAUGGAUUAACGAGAUUCCCACUGUCCCUAUUUACUAUCUAGCGAAGCCACAGCCAAGGGAACGGGCUUGGAAGAAUCAGCGGGGAAAGAAGACCCUGUUGAGCUUGACUCUAGUCUGACAUUGUGAAAUGUCAUGUGAGGUGUAGAAUAGGCGGGAGCUACUUGUAGCAACCUUGAAAUACCGCCACUCACAUCGACGUUUUACUUAUAUCGUCACAGUGUGACUUGAAUGUUGAUAAAGCAUUCAAGUUCUGGUACAUAAGUCUCUUUAUAGAAGGCAAUCACCGCGAUAGAAAUUGUCAGGUGGGGAGUUUGGCUGGGGCGGCACAUCUG